UACAGAGGGGGCAAGCGUUAUUCGGAAUUAUUGGGCGUAAAGGGCGCGUAGGCGGCCUGGCAAGUGGAAGGUGAAAUCCCUCGGCUUAACCGAGGAACUGCCCUCCAAACUGCUUGGCUUGAGUCCGGGAGAGGUGAGUGGAAUUCCCAGUGUAGCGGUGAAAUGCGUAGAUAUUGGGAGGAACACCGAUGGCGAAGGCAGCCCCCUGGGUCAAAACUGACGCUCAUGCACGAAAGCGUGGGGAGCAAACAGG
rnacentral:rRNA from 1 species